GCCUACGUAGCUCAGCGGUAGAGCACUUCCUUGGUAAGGAAGAGGUCACCGGUUCAAACCCGGUCGUAGGCU
rnacentral:tRNA from 3 species